rnacentral:rRNA from 2 species
GUGUGCCUAAUACAUGCAAGUCGAGCGCAUGGCCCAACUGAUAUGACGUGCUUGCACUGAAUUGACGUUGGAUUACCAGUGAGCGGCGGACGGGUGAGUAACACGUGGGCAACCUGCCCUGAGCGGGGGAUAACAUCUGGAAACAGGUGCUAAUACCGCAUAACAACGAAAACCACAUGGUUUUCGUUUCAAAGAUGGUUUCGGCUAUCACUUCAGGAUGGGCCCGCGGUGCAUUAGCUAGUUGGUAAGGUAACGGCUUACCAAGGCAAUGAUGCAUAGCCGAGUUGAGAGACUGAUCGGCCACAAUGGAACUGAGACACGGUCCAUACUCCUACGGGAGGCAGCAGUAGGGAAUCUUCCACAAUGGGCGCAAGCCUGAUGGAGCAACACCGCGUGAGUGAAGAAGGGUUUCGGCUCGUAAAGCUCUGUUGUUGGAGAAGAACGUGCGUGAGAGUAACUGUUCACGCAGUGACGGUAUCCAACCAGAAAGUCACGGCUAACUACGUGCCAGCAGCCGCGGUAAUACGUAGGUGGCAAGCGUUAUCCGGAUUCUAUUGGGCGUAAAGCGAGCGCAAGCGGUUGCUUAAGUCUGAUGUGAAAGCCUUCGGCUUAACCGAAGAAGGGCAUCGGAAACCGGGCGACUUGAGUGCAGAAGAGGACAGUGGAACUCCAUGUGUAGCGGUGGAAUGCGUAGAUAUAUGGAAGAACACCAGUGGCGAAGGCGGCUGUCUGGUCUGCAACUGACGCUGAGGCUCGAAAGCAUGGGUAGCGAACAGGAUUAGAUACCCUGGUAGUCCAUGCCGUAAACGAUGAGUGCUAGGUGUUGGAGGGUUUCCGCCCUUCAGUGCCGGAGCUAACGCAUUAAGCACUCCGCCUGGGGAGUACGACCGCAGGUUGAAACUCAAAGGAAUUGACGGGGGCCCGCACAAGCGGUGGAGCAUGUGGUUUAAUUCGAAGCUACGCGAAGAACCUCCAGGUCUUGACAUCUUGCGCUAACCUAAGAGAUUAGGCGUUCCUUUCGGGGAGCAAUGACAGGUGGUGCAUGGUCGUCGUCAGCUCGUGUCGU